ACGUAGGUGGCAAGCGUUGUCCGGAAUUAUUGGGCGUAAAGGGCGCGUAGGUGGUCAUUUAAGUCUGUCGUAAAAGACCGGGGCUCAACCCCGAUAUGCGGUGGAAACUGGGUGACUUGAGUGCAGGAGAGGAAAGUGGAAUUCCCAGUGUAGCGGUGAAAUGCGUAGAGAUUGGGAGGAACACCAGUGGCGAAGGCGACUUUCUGGACUGUAACUGACACUGAGGCGCGAAAGCCAGGGGAGCGAACGG
rnacentral:rRNA from 1 species